rnacentral:misc_RNA from 1 species
GAUGAAGAACGUAGCGAAAUGCGAUAAGUAAUGUGAAUUGCAGAAUUCAGUGAAUCAUCGAAUCUUUGAAUGCACAUUGCGCCCGCCAGUAUUCUGGCGGGCAUGCCUGUUCGAGCGUCAUUUCAACCAUCAAGCCCCCGGGCUUGUGUUGGGGACCUGCGGCUGCCGCAGGCCCUGAAAAGCAGUGGCGGGCUCGCUGUCACACCGAGCGUAGUAGAUUUUAUCUCGCUCAGGGCGUGCUGCGGGUUCCGGCCGUUAAACCACCUUCAUAACCCAAGGUUGACCUCGGAUCAGGUAGGAAGACCCGCUGAACUUAAGCAUAUCAAUAAGCGGAGGA